AAUUAAUUGGCAGAUUAAUGCAUUAGAAUUAGAAUCUAAUUAGUCUA
rnacentral:tRNA from 1 species